AUACGUAGGGGACGAGCGUUGUCCGGACUUACUGGGCGUAAAGGGCGCGCAGGCGGAUAUUUAAGUCAGCUGUAAAAGGCAUAAGCUCAACUCAUGUAUGCGGUUGAAACUGGGUAUCUAGAGUGCUGGAGAGGGAGGCGGGAUUCCCGGUGUAGCGGUUGAAAGCGUAGAUAUCGGGAAGAACACCAGUGGCGAAGGCGGCUUACUGGACAGCAACUGACGCUGAGGCGCGAAAGCCAGGGGAGCGAACGGGAGUAGAUACCCCGGUAGUCCUGGCCGUAAACGAUGAAUGCUAGGUGUGGGUGUCGAGAGGCAUCCGUGCCGGAGUUAACGCGAUAAGCAUUCCGCCUGGGGAGUACGAUCGCAAGAUUGAAACUCAAAUGAAUUGACGGGG
rnacentral:rRNA from 1 species